ACCCCAGUUACAGACAGUACAAUUCACCAGCUGGGCAGGGUGAUGGUUUUACACAGGGUAAUGUUUAUUUGUCAGUCAAGGGGAGAAAUCAAAGUCUUUAAAUCACACACAGCACUGGCACUGCUUUUCUCCACAGACAAGAUUACAAUCAAUAAUCAACUGAGCUCUUGGCUCAAUGGAAUAAUUUCCACAGUGGAUGCCAGUUCCCAAGUAUCUAACCUUAGUUACAGGUGCUUAAAGUGAAACCAAUCAACCAUAAAAUACACAGACAUGUAAGGACAUAGUUCAUUUACAAGGAUGUCUAUAAAUAUAUUGGUCUAGUCUGCAUGACCAAACCACUCAAACAAAGUUCUUAGACAGUUUUUAUUUAUUAAAAACUAAGACUUUUUACACUGGAAUAGCAUUUGGGAGUUCAGGCUCCCCCUCUAGCUUUCUGUAGUUAAUUCCAUGGUGCUGCUCCCCUGAGGAAGCUCACAAUCCUCCAGCUGGUUGCAUCAGGUAACAACUUGCUGCUGAGAAAGGCUGUUAGUAUUUUUUCUACUUGGCUCUACCAGUGAAACAAGGGAAAAUAGUCAUCAGCAUUACCCAAGACAGGGCAACAUUUGCCAGUUUAACUUGAGCAAUCUUUAAGUAUUAGGUACUGCAGUUACAUUUACCACUGUCACACACCAUGUUGGAGUCCAUAAUAUUUCUGCUUUAAAAACAAGUCAUUACUCUUUGUUCCUUUUCCUGUCACAGACAAUUGGCUCCUACUGACUUGGCUGGAAGUUCAGUAUCAGGAUGCACAGGAAGCCAGUGGAUGUAGUGAGAGAAUGUGCAGUGCUGAGGGUGAUGUCUCCGAGACAGCGAGGGUCCUCUGCUCCACUAACAGUGAUUGUGACAAGUGCAGCAUCAAGGAGAGACACUUGAUGGCUGAAUGCUCAGAACAGAAAUGGAGCAUCCAUCAACACUUGAGUCAAAUGAAAGUGUGAGAAAGAAAUGAGAAGGAGAAAUCAAGGCACAAGCAUUAUUGUUCACUUUUGAUUCUGAAGCAGUGUCAUUGCUCAGAGAGCUCCCACCUGCUAAUGAAGAACCCUCUUAUACCAGGAUUUUCAGACUGGAAGGAAAGAUUGAGUGCUUAACUCUGAUCAGGAUCUCAGGAAUAGACAAUUGGUAUUACAAAAAGUGAUAGCAAUCUUCUUUUUUUUGCCUGUCUAAUGCAUACUGCCCAAGCACUUCUAUGGAGAGACAGUAGAGAGACCAUCCAUCAGCAUCACAUAAUGUGAACCAGAUUCAUUUCAUGGCUGUUUAGAAACCACUUGGGACAUGAUGUUAAAACCACCUCUGCUGUAAAAGUAAGCUUGUUGAUGGGAUGGGAUGGGAUGGGAUGGGAUGGGAUGGGAUGGGAUGGGAUGGGAUGGGAUGGGAUGGGAUGGGAUGGGAGCCACUUAGGCCAAUUUCACACAUGGGAAUCUAAGCUGGGCCUGAUUCAAACAUUAAAUACUCUCUGAGACAUUUGUCAAUGAGAGUAAUCUGAACUGCUGUGCUAAUAUUAAUAAAUUAGAGUAAAUUUAGAAUGUCAUGUGCAUGUAAAAUGCUUUAACCACGGGCCCAGAAGCUGUAAAGAGUGUACUUAAAUUUGAGGAAGAUGAUGAUAGAGAUUUGUGUUCCUAACCCAGGGAAAUACAGUUGAUAGCCCAGACUCUAGCAGGUGUGACACCAGCAUCUGUUAAAAUGCUGUUCAGGGAAUGACCACCUGACAGGAGUAGAUGGUUUUCAAUACAGGUACUGGGAUCCCCAAGAAAAGUGAAGUUCCUGGAUCAGAUUUGCUCCCAGUCAAGCCAGGUGCAAUGAAGACAGCGAGUCACUUUGUUACCCAGGAGUGUCAGUGGUGAGAGAAGCAGCUCCAUCCCCUCCCCUUCACCAAAGCACAGGCAGCCCCUCUGAAUGCAUGGCCCCAGUGUCAUUGACUGCAAGUUACUGCUUUUAACUUGAUUCAAUGCCUGUUGUGCUGAACCAACAGAUGAUGUGCAUCAGCAAUGAAGGCAGGCCAGUGACCUGGGUUGAAGUUCACAGCAAUAGUUAAUACUGAGAUACUCUCAACAGUCUGAUCAUUGGCCUUUAGCAGGUAUUUAUCUGUCUCCUGGUUUCUUUUCUAUGAUGCACAAGGCAAGUGUCUAAGUUAAGGUUUGUGUAAUCGAUUCCAAAUACAUGAUAUUUGAUUUAAUUAGGAAAAAAUCCCUAAAUCACGCCAAAGCUAAUCCAUACCUAUCAUUCAGACUCUUGAUUACCAUGUCACUAUUCUGCCAUUCUUGCUCUUGUGAUGGGGCUGCCCUUACAACUUCUAAGGGCUCAGACAUGAAGAGGUUUCACUGAGGUCUUUAAUCUCAUUGUGGUUCAGGGGCACUUACACAACCUGAGUACCUCAGGAGCUGGUGAGGCUCUUGUGACAGAGCUCCUCUGAUCAGCAGAGUGGUGCAGACAGUCUGAACUAAUGCUGGAACAAGAGAACUGUGCCCAAACCCUUUAGGAACUGGAUGGCUAUGGAAAGUGAUUUUCCCUCUCCUGAACCCUUUAGGAACUGGAUGGCUAUGGAAAGUGAUUUUCCCUCUCCAAGAGAACUUUAUAGCCUUAAGAGCCAGCAAACACAUCUUCUUUCUGUAUAAAAGAAUCCAGAGCAAAGCCACAUCUCCUGAAACUCUCCUUUCUUCUCCGUCUGAAACAAACCACAGAUCCCCAAUUUCCAACAGAACUCAAUCUGCAGGCUGUAGGAAGGCUGCUGAGGAAUAAAACAAGCUCUGGAAUCCAAGAAGAGGCAAACAGCAGUGAGCAGGGAGGAGGAAGGACCAGUAGUCAUGGGGAUGGAUUUUCCUCCACUGUGCUGCUUCCCUCCACCCCAUCAAACACCUUAUCAUGCAAUUUCAUUUUCAAUUAUUUAAUCUGUUCUGUAGUUCAAAUGUUUUCCCUCUGCAGGAUUUCAUACAUAAACAUCUGCAGAUGGCAUAUUGCUUUCUUAACUGAUACAGCAAUACAAUAAGCUGCUUGCAAAGAGCAUGCACAUCCUAUUAAGUUAUCAUUUGCUUUAUUGCAAUUAAGAUAAUCAGAUUUUCAUUAUAAAUUGAUAUUUUAGCUUAUACUCUUCAGAUAAAAACAAUAUUCCUGAAAAGCAAAGCAUGGCACAGUGCACUAGCACACAGCGAAAAGGGGCUUAAUUUUUAUUACUGUUUUUUCAGUAAGAAUCCAAACCUUUUGUAGUCACAUGUUUAUAAAAAUAAGCAUUCAGCUUUUUCAUUAAAUAUUUAGACUGAAAAUUUAUGGAGUGGGAAAAUAACUGUUUUUCUCAGGACCUGCAAUCUGGUAAGUCACUGUAUAAACUCUUGCAUUUUUACCUGGGUCCAUUUAACUUACAAUAUCUCAAUCUGACUUUUUUAAGAUAAUUAUUUUCAGAAAGCAGUAGGAUUUUUGGGAUGAGCAAUACAGAUGCUGUAUUGCUGAAGUGCAAUUCAGAACUAAUUAUCUAAAAAUAUUGCUGGUUAUUGUACUAUAGUAUUUGAAUAAAAUAGGUGGAGAGAGGCUUUGUGAUCAGCCAGAUGAACAUCCUGGUCUCAUAUAUUUGAGUCUAUACAUGAUGUGCUUGCCCAGACUGUUUUUUAACCAUCUGUGGCAAUCUUAGAUAAGGUAUUCAAGUGCCUAAUUGACUGCUAGAAAGACAGCCCUAACACCUCCCCAUAAAACUUCCUUCUCUUUAGUUUAACCCAGCUCUUGUUAUUCUAGGUGUGGGAAUUCUGAUAUUUUAACCAAAAAAGCUGCAAUCAAGCAAUUUGUAUCAACCUGCUGCCUCCUGUGGGUUUAAUUGUGUUGUCACCUGUUGAGAAUUAGAUGACAUGCAGCAUCAAAGGCUUGUGGGUGUAGCUGCUCCUGGUGUGUUUAAUCCUGAUGUCAAAGCAGUCCUUGUUUCUGCCUGUUGCAACCUCGUUCUUCAGAAAGCAAGAUUUAGUAGAGAUGUACAUGUACAAUUUCUCAGCUUCCCUCAUGAAGGAAUUCUUUAACAGCAGAUUGGCCAAGAGGUGGUUCAGAGACCUGUAACAUCUCUGCAGGGUCAUGGAAUCCCAGACUGCAAGGGACCUUAAAGAUCAUCCAGUUACAAUGUGCAGGGAUAUCCCCCACCAGAUAAGGCUGUUACAAGAUCCUUCCAACCUGGAACACUUCAUGGGGCAGCCACAGCUUCUCUGGCUGAUUUCUUCCAAUGACUCACCACCCCCAUGGUCAAGAAUUUCAUCUCAAAUCCACCUGACUUUGCACUGUCACUACAAAGCCAUUCCCUCUUGUCCUGUCAUUCCAUGCCCUUGUCCAAGCCCCUCUCCAGUUUUCACCAUCCCCACCAUCCUGCUGGUCACGCUGCUCCUGAUGCAGCCCAGGACAAGGGGGGGAUUCUGGGCUGCAAACACACAUUGCCAGGUCAUGUUGAACUUCUUGUCAACCAACACCCUCAAAUCUCUCUCCUGGAUUACUGCAUCCUAAUAUAUACUGCUCUUUAUAGCUCUUCAAAGAGGCUUAGAAAAUAAACAAGAAUAAUUGGAAAUCUCAUAUGUUAGUGCUGGAUGUGCUGGUUAAUGCCAUAAAAGUAAGAUAAUAUGCUGUGAUGGAGGAAAAACACACUCCUUUCACAUUUUCCUGUUCUGUGGAGAGAUCAACACCCUAGUAAGGGAUUCUUAGUAAAUAGCUCCUAAUGUGACCAAACAAGCAACAGCACUGGGUCUUCUUCUCCAUGGAUGUACAUGUGUAAGUUCAAGCACUGCUCCAUGACUCAGAGGUUUUCUCCUAAUUGGAAAUAAUUGUAAAAAAAAAAUUUAUGUGCACUACCGGGAGUUCAGGUUUCACUCCAUUCACUGCAUAGCUCUAAAGGACACCUUUGCAAUAUCCUUGAUGCCUUAUCUCAAUUUUGAUUCUCAAUUAGCUCAUGACUAGAAUGAAAAUCAACUGUUUAAAAUCUGAUAUAACUAUAAACGAGUUACUUAUAAUAACAUAUUAAUUUUUAAAAUUGUGUCAUGCCAUGAACUGUUGGCUAAUUUUUGGAUCUUAUUCAGUUGGCAUAGAGCUGAGAUGGAGAUGAAUAUUCUCCCUGGCUGGAAGGUUAGCAUCUUAAUUUUUUGGGUCAGCCAAGUUACUUUUCUCACUGGAAAAGAGAUAAGAUAUGUCAGUAAUUGUAAUAGGAGUGUGACUGCAUAAAUUCAUAUUUUAUAAUAGAUUCCACUUUCCAAACCCUGAUUCAAUUCUUUGUAGCUUUCUAGAACUUCUCCAACUUAUUUUUACUAAAAGUCGUCUUUGCCAAAAAAUGAAUUAUUUCUAUAGCUCACAGAUUUGGGGGGAAUAUGACAAUUUGUAUCUCUACGGUUUUUUUUCCUAUUCUAGAGUCUUUUUAUAACACUGUGAGCACCAAACCCUGCUGUUCUCAUGGCAUGACAUCUUUCAGUGUCCUAACUGUUAAUUAAGAAAUACUUAAAUAAUCAAAAGGUUUUCAAAAGGUUUUUCCCAUUAAUCUCAAUCUGUUGCAAUUUUCCACCACGUUUCAAAUUGUAACAAGUGUUUUGAUUUUCUGGAUUAAAA